AAAAUAUCAGGCUGCGAGCAGGCUAACCAUGUAGUUGCUGGGUUUUAUUUGAAACAGUCUGAUUUCCAUAUGGUCGUAACGGUCGUAAACAUUGAGUCACGAUCUUUCUCAUCAGGCGAAAUACAACAUUUUAGAACUGAAAAUACCAACAUUUUAGAACUGAAAAUACAACAUUUUAGAACUGGAAAUACCAACAUUUUAGAACUGGAAAUAGAGAUUAUAACUAGAGAAUACUUAUAGUUUAUAUGUGGUUUACAGGUAUAAACUAUUACAAACUGGCCGUUGACUGUUGUCAGUGUUGUGGCAAAUUGAGAAUGUAGACUUGUAGUUUAAUUUCCUUGCUUCUGUAAGUCAAUUAUCAUUUCCGACGUUGACAAAUUAAGACUUGACCACAUGUGUUCUGCAACGCUGAUUGAAUCUUGGCAAUACUGAUUUGGUCAUAAUCUGAUUAAAUAAUGAG